rnacentral:rRNA from 1 species
AGUCAACAUGCCCAGGGGACGUGGAUAACCUCGGGAAACUGAGGAUAAACCGCGAUAGGCCAUGAUUUCUGGAAUGGUUCAUGGCCGAAAUCUACAUGGCCCCUGGAUUGGACUGCGGCCGAUCAGGCUGUUGGUGAGGUAAUGGCCCACCAAACCUGUAACCGGUACGGGCUCUGAGAGGAGGAGCCCGGAGAUGGGCACUGAGACAAGGGCCCAGGCCCUAUGGGGCGCAGCAGGCGCGAAACCUCUGCAAUAGGCGAAAGCUUGACAGGGUUACUCUGAGUGAUUUCCGUUAAGGAGAUCUUUUGGCACCUCUAAAAAUGGCGCAGAAUAAGGGGUGGGCAAGUCUGGUGUCAGCCGCCGCGGUAAUACCAGCACCCCGAGUGGUCGGGACGUUUAUUGGGCCUAAAGCAUCCGUAGCCGGUUCUACAAAUCUUCCGUUAAAUCCACCUGCUUAACAGAUGGGCUGCGGAGGAUACUAUAAGACUAGGAGGCAGGAGAGGCAAGCGGUACUCAGUGGGUAGGGGUAAAAUCCGUUGAUCCAUUGAAGACCACCAGUGGCGAAGGCGGCUUGCCAAAAUGCGCUCGACGGUGAGGGAUGAAAGCUGGGGGAGCAAACCGGAUUAGAUACCCGGGUAGUCCCAGCUGUAAACGAUGCAAACUCGGUGAUGA